ACGACAACAGGAAAUUUAUGUCACUUCCGGUUGCCAUCUUGAUUCGUACUAUACCUGUACCAAAUAAAAACGUUAUUAGCCAAAGAAAAACUUUUUCAUUUGCGGAAUGAAAAAUAUAACAAGUUCAGAGUUUUGUUUAAAAAGCUGUGUUUGAAAAUGUUCCUGAAAAACACAAUCAGCUAGAGGCCGACUUUAGUGACCUACAUCCAACUGACUUCAACCCUUCCACCAUUUGUGAGGAUUUGAUGAACUUUCCAACCAGCUGACCGUGAUAAAACAUUUUUUUUAACUACAGUACCUGGCGCUGGGAAGUCCAGCUUGGCCCGCCGCAGCUCUGUCAUGGACGCCUGCAGCUGCUCGAUCACAAAGUCGUCCUCCAGGAAGAAAUCUUUGGCUAACGUGACCUGCAGGAACUCCACCAGCUCCUCCAUGGACAGCUUCAACAGAACCAGCAGAUCAUCACCGAUUGGAAACUAAACUCUGGACUUCCAGCGACGUUGGUUCUGAUCCUCUAGAGUUUGGACCGCUGAGCAACGGUCCGGUUCUGGUUCUCCUCAGUCCAGUAAGGUCUGGAUCGCGGCGCUCUGUCCCACACUGCUGCACUGUGAUUACGGCUGACCAGAACGUUUCCUGCCAGCGUGCGCCAGCCUAUAUAUAAAACUCCAACACUGUGCUGUUUAUGAGGAGCAGAAACCACAGACACUCUGAGCUGCUGUGGACCGGACUAACCCAAACACAGCAGGAGGCGGAGGGAGGUUCUUACUGGACAAAUCCGAAACGGUCGAUGACUUUGUAGAGAUGGAAGUUGGUGUCCUCCCAGGGCUCCACGGUGGCCUCUUUACCCUGGAGGACAGGAAAACAAACAUCAGGAGCUGAAAACAAGCUGUUAACACAGCAACAGUUUCAGUUUAAAAACCAGUUUUGCUGCUAAAUUAUUGACUAAAUAGAAAUAUAAGAUGAACAACAAAGAUAUUUAUAAUCUCAUCUGUUGUUCAACUAUCAGACUGGAGGAAAGUGUUUCAAGAAAUCCUGAUCAUUCAGGGAGCUUCUUUAGAAAUGUAGAUGCUAACAUUAGCGUUAGCAGCAUGUUUAUCUUCACUGAUGGGCAGAUAACAAAUGUAACCAGAUACAUUUAUUUGAGUAAAUUUAUUCCGAAGUAUCUCCAGUCUUACUUGAGUAAAAUUUCUGACUUUUCUACCCAUUGACACUGAUUUUGACACAUUUUGUUUUACCUGAUUUUUAGUUUUUUGUUAUAUGAACGAUUAUUUUGGUCCUUAAAAUACCAAAAAUUUCAAAUAUGACAUCAUUGAUAAUGUGAUCAGUUGCUCGGUAUUUGAGUAGAAUUUUUACCAAAUAAUUUUUUACUUGAGGAAAGAUAUUUUGAAGCAGUGCUACUCCUCUGCUGCUAGGCGAACUCCUUUUAGCACAACAAUCAGAUCGAUUGAACGACUUGUGCGUCUAAUUUACCAGCGCACCAGAAACGAGAUUAAAAAGUUCCCACUAAAGACAUUAUAAAUCUCACAUUUAGCAUUAUUUGCUGCAAUUUAAACUUUUUUUUUUCUCUUGAGGGAGGAAACAUUCCUGGAAGAGUUUUGCUGCUGAUGCAAUCUGCUGGAAUUCUUAAGAAAACAUUUUAUUAAUUGGAAUGUAUAGAAUUAAUGUCAAAUAUGUUGUUAUGGAAAUUAAUAUAGAUGUAAUUUUCUUAUUUUGUGUCAUAUAUACUACAAUGCUACUGCUUACAUUCUGUAGAGCUGCUAUGCUCCAACUACAAAAUUCAUCUGUUCAUCAGAGGACCAGUGAAUAACGGACUUUAAUGAAGGCUGUGACAGUUAAGUUGACAUUACAAUGUUCUGUUUGGGUCAAUAUGAUACUGUCAUAAUGCUGUCAUGAACGAGACGACCCAAGCAAUAAUUUACCAUUGUAUUAUUAAUUCUGCUAUGCUGUGUGUUAUUAAAGCUAAUUGUUGUCUGUGAGUAACUUUUAAACUCAUAGAAUAGUAUGACGUCAAAAAUCUAAAAACAUUUAGUCAUAGUAUAGUAUGACGUCCGAAACGUGAAAAAUUUAGUCAUAGUAUAGUAUGACGUCCGAAACGU